AGGACGAACGCUGGCGCGGUGCUUAACGACGAUGCAAGUCGAGCGGAAAGGCCCUUCGGGGUACUCGAGCGGCGAACGGGUGAGUAACACGUGAGCAACCUGCCCUUAGCUCCGGGAUAGCUCCGGGAAACCGGAAUUAAUACCGGAUAUGACCUAGGCCGACAUCGGCUGUGGUGGAAAGUUUUUCGGCUGGGGAUGGACUCGCGGCCUAUCAGCUUGUUGGUGGGGUAAUGGCCUACCAAGGCGACGACGGGUAGCCGGCCUGAGAGGGCGACCGGCCACACUGGGACUGAGACACGGCCCAGACUCCUACGGGAGGCAGCAGUGGGAAUCUUGCGCAAUGGGCGAAAGCCUGACGCAGCGACGCCGCGUGGGGAUGAAGGCCUUCGGGUUGUAAACCCCUUUCAGCAGGGACGAAGCGAAAGUGACGGUACCUGCAGAAGAAGCGCCGGCUAACUACGUGCCAGCAGCCGC
rnacentral:rRNA from 1 species